rnacentral:rRNA from 1 species
GACGAACGCUGGCGGCGUGCUUAACACAUGCAAGUCGAACGGAAAGGCCCUGCUUUUGUGGGGGGCUCGAGUGGCGAACGGGUGAGUAACACGUGAGUAACCUGCCCUUGACUUUGGGAUAACUUCAGGAAACUGGGGCUAAUACCGGAUAGGUGCUCCUGCUGCAUGGUGGGGGCUGGAAAGCUUCGGCGGUUGGGGAUGGACUCGCGGCUUAUCAGCUUGUUGGUGGGGUAGUGGCUUACCAAGGCCUUGACGGGUAGCCGGCCUGAGAGGGUGACCGGCCACAUUGGGACUGAGAUACGGCCCAGACUCCUACGGGAGGCAGCAGUGGGGAAUAUUGCACAAUGGGCGGAAGCCUGAUGCAGCGACGCCGCGUGCGGGAUGACGGCCUUCGGGUUGUAAACCGCUUUCGCCUGUGACGAAGCGUGAGUGACGGUAAUGGGUAAAGAAGCACCGGCUAACUACGUG